rnacentral:rRNA from 1 species
GCUGGCGGCNCGCUUAAACAUGCAAGUCGAACGUGAAGCCCGGGCUUGCCCGGGUGGAAAGUGGCGAACGGGUGCGUAACACGUGAGCAACCUGCCCCGAAGACCGGGAUAACACCGGGAAACCGGUGCUAAUACCGGAUGUCUUCACCACGUCGCAUGGCGAGGUGAAGAAAUGGAUUCCGCUUCGGGAUGGGCUCGCGGCCUAUCAGCUUGUUGGUGGGGUAACGGCCUACCAAGGCAACGACGGGUAGCUGGUCUGAGAGGAUGUCCAGCCACACUGGGACUGAGACACGGCCCAGACUCCUACGGGAGGCAGCAGUUAGGAAUCUUGCGCAAUGGGCGAAAGCCUGACGCAGCGAUGCCGCGUGCGGGAUGAAGGCCUUCGGGUCGUAAACCGCUUUCAGCAGGGACGAUUGUGACGGUACCUGCAGAAGAAGCCCCGGCCAACUACGUGCCAGCAGCCGCGGUAAUACGUAGGGGGCGAGCGUUGUCCGGAUUUAUUGGGCGUAAAGAGCUCGUAGGCGGUUUGGUAAGUCGGGUGUGAAAUCUCCACGCUCAACGUGGAGGGGCCACUCGAUACUGCCAUGACUCGAGUCCGGUAGAGGAGUGUGGAAUUCCCGGUGUAGCGGUGAAA